GUCCCGGUAGCUCAGCUGGUAGAGCAUUCGGCUGUUAACCGAAGGGUCGUUGGUUCGAGUCCAGCCCGGGACG
rnacentral:tRNA from 1 species